UGGUAAUAUGAAAGAAGAGACGUUUAUCACUCCCGUAGACAAGGAUGGAACAUAUAUAAAUGGUAAGGCACUAUCACCUUUCGGCGAAACUUACCAGAUCUUUUU
rnacentral:ncRNA from 1 species